rnacentral:rRNA from 1 species
AAUACCCAAUGUGCUCGGUGAUUCGGUUCAUCGAGUAAAGCUCCGGCGCUUCGGGAGAGGCCUGCGGCCCAUCAGCUAGUUGGUAGGGUAACGGCCUACCAAGGCAGAGACGGGUAGGGGGCGUGAGAGCGCGGACCCCCACACUGGCACUGAGAUACGGGCCAGACUCCUACGGGAGGCAGCAGUAAGGGAUAUUGCGCAAUGGACGAAAGUCAGACGCAGCGACGCCGCGUGGGCGAUGAAGGCCUUCGGGUUGUAAAGCCCUUUUAUGGGGGAAGAGAAAAAGGACGGUACCCCAGGAAUAAGUCCCGGCUAACUACGUGCCAGCAGCCGCGGUAAAACGUAGGGGACAAGCGUUAUCCGGAUUCACUGGGCGUAAAGAGCGUUGAGGCGGUUCCGUAAGUUGGGCGUGAAAGCUCCGGGCUUAACUCGGAGAUGUCGUUCAAUACUGCGGGGCUUGAGGACAGCAGAGGAAGGUGGAAUUCCCGGUGUAGUGGUGAAAUGCGUAGAUAUCGGGAGGAACACCCGUGGCGAAGGCGGCCUUCUGGGCUGUUCCUGACGCUGAAGGCGAAAGCUAGGGGAGCGAACGGGAUUAGAUACCCCGGUAGUCCUAGCUGUAAACGAUGGAUGCUGGGUGUGGGGGGUGUAAAUUCCCUCUGUGCCGAAGCAAACGCGUUAAGCAUCCCGCCUGGGGACUACGGCCGCAAGGCUAAAACUCAAACGAAUUGACGGGGGCCCGCACAAGCAGCGGAGCGUGUGGUUUAAUUCGAUGCUACACGAAGAACCUUACCUGGGUUUGACAUGCACGUGGUAGGGAACCGAAAGGGGACCGACCUUCGGGAGCGUGCACAGGUGCUGCAUGGCUGUCGUCAGCUCGUGCCGUGAGGUGUCGGGUUAAGUCCCGUAACGAGCGCAACCCUUGCCCUUAGUUACAAGUGUCUAAGGGGACUGCCCGGGACAACUGGGAGGAAGGUGGGGAUGACGUCAAGUCAGCAUGGCCUUUAUAUCCAGGGCUACACACACGCUACAAUGGCCGGUACAAUAGGUUGCGAAGUCGUGAGGCGGAGCCAAUCCU